rnacentral:lncRNA from 1 species
GAUAUGACAUGAUAUGAUGUGAUAUGACGUAAUACGACACGGUGUGACGUGAUAUGUCGCAAUAUGGUGUGAUAUGACGUGAUAUGACACAAUGUGCCAUGACAUGCUGUGUCACAGUGGAACACGACAUGACAUGAUACGAUGUGAUGUAACGUGAUACGACACAAUGGGUCGUGACAUGGUAUGUCACAACAGAACAUGACAUGAUAGAGCACAAUACGACACGAUAUGUCACGGUAUGACGUAGAAUGACGUGAUAUGACAAGAUGUGACACGAUAUGACUGAUAUGGUGUGAUAUGACGUGAUGUGACACAAUGUGUCGUGACAUGGUAUGUCACAACACGGCAUGGUGUGAACUGAUAUGACGCGAUGUAAGAUAAUGUGACGCGAUAUGACACAGUAUGACGUGAUACAAUAUGGUAUGACAUGAUAUGGCACGAUAUGUCACGAUACGACACAAUAUGACAUGGUUUGCGCAACACGACACGAUAUGACACGAUAUGGCGUGAUAUGACGUGAUAUGACACAACUGUCGUGACAUGGUAUGUCACAGCACGACACGAUACGACGCAAUACGAUGUGAGCCAUUCCUGCCUCAGCUUCCCUGAGGUGUGGAGUGCGGUGCGUGGAGAACAGGCAGCGUCCUCAUGUUGUGCCGUGUCCUCAUGUUGUGCCAUGUCCUCAUGUCGUGCCGUGUCCUCGUGUCGUGCCAUGUCCUCGUGUCGUGCCAUGUCCUCAUGUCGUGCCAUGUCCUCGUGUCGUGCCAUGUCCUCAUGUCGUGCCAUGUCCUCGUGUCGUGCCAUGUCCUCAUGUCGUGCCAUGUCCUCGUGUCGUGCCAUGUCCUCAUGUCGUGCCAUGUCCUCGUGUCGUGCCGUGUCCUCAUGUCGUGUCGUGUCCUCAUGUCGCGCCGUGUCCUCAUGUCGUGCCAUGUCCUCAUGUCGUGCCGUGUCCUCAUGUCACGCCAUGUCCUCAUGUCACGCCAUGUCCUCAUGUCGUGCCAUGUCCUCAUGUCGUGCCGUGUCCUCGUGUUUUACCAUUUCCUUGUGCCUCGCCGUGUCCUCGUGCCUCACCAUCUCCUCAUGCCACACCAUGUGCUUGUGCCAUGCCAUGUCCUCGUGCCACAUCCUGUCCCCAUGCCUCACCAUGUCCUCGUGCCACACCAUGUCCUCGUGCCUCACCAUGUCCUCGUGCCACGCCGUGUCCCCGUGCCCCACGGCUGCGCCCCCUCCAUGUGGCUGUGCUGCCCCGUCCCCGUGCCACCCCAGGCCCCGCUCCGUGCCGCGCCGUGCCGUCGUGCCGCGCCGCAUCCCCAUCUCCUCGUGCCGCGCCGUGGCCGUGUGCCACGCUGUGUUCCCGUGCCCGCGGUUUGUCCCCGUGCCACGUCCUCGUGCUCACCGUGUCCUCGUGCCCCCCCGCCCACGCCGUCCCCGCGCUGUGCCACGUCCCCUUGCCGAGCCGCUGUCCUCGUGCCCCGUGGUGCGUCCUCGUGCCCUGCAGCAUUCCUUGUGGUUGACACAUCCCUGCGCUCCGUGGCAUCGUGGCAUAUCCUCGUGCCCGCAGUGCAUCCUUGUGCCCUCCAGCUCCUCGUGCCCCGUGCAUUUCUUUGUGCCCGCCAGCUCCUCGUGCCCCGUGCAUUUCUUUGUGCCCUCCACCUCCUCGUGCCCCGUGCAUUUCCUUGUGCCCACCAGCUCCUUGUGCCCUGUGCAUUUCCUUGUGCCCUCCACCUCCUCGUGCCCCGUGCAUUUCCUUGUGCCCGCCAGCUCCUCGUGCCCCGCAGCGUCGUGGUGCCCCGCGGCAGCUCCUUGUAUCCACCGCGUCUUCAUGCCCGUGGCAUUUCCUCGUGCACGCUCAUCCUCGUGCCCCACAGCAAUUCCAUGUGAUUGCCACAUCCCUGUGCUCCAUGGCACGUGUUUGUGCCCCGUGGUGCAUCCUCGUGCCCUGCACCUCCUUGUGCCCCGUGGCAGCUCCUUGUAUGCACCACAUCCUCAUGACUGUGGCAUUUCCUAGUGCACACUCAUCCUCGUGCCCCACAGCAUUCCCUUCUGGUGCCCCACGGUGCCCGCCACCUCCUCGUGCCCUGCACCAUUUCGUUGUGCCCGCCCCAUCCUUGUGCCCACCCCAUCCUCGUGCCCACCACCUCCUUGUGCCUCGUGGCAUGCUCUCCUGCCUGCCACCUCCUCGUGCCCUGUGCCAUUUCCUCGUGCCCACCCCACCCUCGUGCCCCGCGCCCCAUCCUCGUGCCCUGCACCAUUUCCUCGUGCCCACCACCUCCUCGUGCCUCACGGCAUGCUCUCGUGCCCCAAGGUGGCCACCACCUCCUCGUGCCCCACUCCAUUUCCUCGUGCCCACCCCAUCCUCGUGCCCACCACCUCCUCGUGCCCCGCACCACCUCCUCGUGCCCACCCCAUCCUCGUGACCACCCCACCGCCGUGCCCCGCUCCCUGGUGCAGGUCGGUGCAUCAGAUCGGUGCAUUCCGCGCUCCCGCUGCUCCUCCCCCGCGGUGCCGUUGCCUGGUGACCUCGC